rnacentral:rRNA from 1 species
GACGAACGCUGGCGGCGUGCUUAACACAUGCAAGUCGAACGGAAAGGCCCUGCUUUUGUGGGGUGCUCGAGUGGCGAACGGGUGAGUAACACGUGAGUAACCUGCCCUUGACUUUGGGAUAACUUCAGGAAACUGGGGCUAAUACCGGAUAGGAGCUCCUGCUGCAUGGUGGGGGUUGGAAAGUUUCGGCGUUUGGGGAUGGACUCGCGGCUUAUCAGCUUGUUGGUGGGGUAGUGGCUUACCAAGGCUUUGACGGGUAGCCGGCCUGAGAGGGUGACCGGCCACAUUGGUACUGAGAUACGGCCCAGACUCCUACGGGAGGCAGCAGUGGGGAAUAUUGCACAAUGGGCGGAAGCCUGAUGCAGCAACGCCGCGUGCGGGAUGACGGCCUUCGGGUUGUAAACCGCUUUCGCCUGUGACGAAGCGUGAGUGACGGUAAUGGGUAAAGAAGCACCGGCUAACUACGUG